rnacentral:lncRNA from 1 species
GUUGUGACCCGUUUUUGUUGGUUAUGUUGUCAUAGUUGUGUCCAGGGGGGCAUAUGGGGGAGGGAACGCUGUCACCUCCAGGUAGGUGUUUGUCCCCCUGUGUGCUGAGGGUGUCAGGUUCUUGUCCAGUUCUGGCAUUUAGGUCAACACAGACUAGUACAUGUCCCUGGGCCUGGAAAUAAUUGAUUUCCCCCUCCAGGAUGGAGAAGCUGUCUUCAUUAAAGUAUGGAGAUUCUAGUGGGGGGAUAUAGGUAGGAUGGAGAAGCUGUCUUCAUUAAAGUAUGGGGAUUCUAGUGGGGGGAUAUAGGUAGGAUGGAGAAGCUGUCUUCAUUAUAGUAUGGGAUUCUAGUGGGGGGAUAUAGGUAGGAUGGAGAAGCUGUCUUCAUUAAAGUAUGGGGAUUCUAGUGGGGGGAUAUAGGUAGCACACAGGAGGACAUUUUUAUCUGUUGAGAUCAUUUCCUUUUGAAUUUCUAGCCAAAUGUAAAAUGUUCCUGUUUUAAUUAAUG